GUGCCUAAGAAUUCAUGUCUCCUGAUAGCAUUUCUCUUUGAUGGGAACAACCAGGAACAUGAGGGAAGAGAACACUGAAGGAGACAGCAGAUAUGAUGCAGAGUGGGAGAGAACAGAAUGUUUCUUUGGUGUGGAACUUUUCAAGACCCUGUCAAAGGCCAGAUCAACAAAUGCAAUGAAUGGACUCUGCCAAGGUAAAUGAAAAGGCACCACCAUGUACCAACAGAGGACAUGGCUCUACUUAGCCCUCUCUUUCUGCUAUGGUUUGCCAUUGUAAUGGGGAAAACUGUGGGAAGCUCACUUUUACCUUUGCUUCACUUCCCACAUAAUAUACACAC
rnacentral:lncRNA from 1 species